GUGUGUGUGUCUGUGUGUGUGUGUGUGUGUGUCUGUGUGUGUGUGUGUGUAGCCGUCACUACGCCGUGUGUUCCUCCCUGUCAGCAUGGUGGCGUCUGCGGGCCUCUGAACACCUGUGUGUGUGUGACGGGGACGAGCGGCAUACGCUGUGAGAAACUCGUGUGUCCCGUCGUGACUACGGUGGUCAGUAUGGCCCGCGCCGUGCGGAAAGGCUUUCGGGAGAGUUACGUGGACCGCUGCGGACCGCUGGGAGUCCAGCUCUGUACUAAAUACAGGAUAAAUCAGGCGCGUGUGUAUCUGCAGGCAUAUAGAGUGGGCUACAAAAUCCAGUGCCCUGAGAAAACAGCAAGAUGAACAACAUCAAGUCUAUUGUAAUGCUCCCAAACACUGAACAGACACACUCACUCAGUGCAUAUUAUAUGAUUGUGUAUACUGGCUUUUGCACAUUGUGCAAGUGUAUUGUUACGGACUAAUAAAGGUAUUUUUGGUGACU
rnacentral:lncRNA from 1 species